GCUGCCCGGCUCUGCGAAUCCGCUGAGAAGGCUGGUGGCCGCCGGAGGGGCUAUUCUAUUCCGGGGGGUGGAGGCACGGGGACUUGGCGUCACCUGGCGGGUUUCAGCCCCGCAGCGAGGGCGGCCGGGCCCGUAGGUCACAUCUGAGGCCUACUUCGGCCUCCGAGCCAAGACCUGCCCUGACUAAGGUUGCCCUUGGGCACCUUCGAAAUGUCUUCCCCUCCUCCCCCACCUGCCCGCCUUUUUUUUUUUUCCUGGCACCAUCCUGUGUCGCUUUCUUUUCACAGCCGUUUUUCUUUUACAGCUCUGGUUUGCACGCGCUGCACCUUUUUCUUCACCCCCCACCCCCCGUCUAAACACGUAGUGUGACUUCCGUUGCCUCGAAGCUGCUGCAACUGCUCUCUCAGAGGUCACCCAAGACCACUAUCCUGACUUUCCAUUAUCCUUUUUUUUUAAUUGCACUCGGCAGCCCUCUCCUUGGGCUUUUGUGUCUAUUAUAAUUCUCUUUCCGUCCCUUAAAGAAAACGUUUUAGGAAGCAGAGCGGAUUCAAAUCUGAGCACCCGCCCCGUAUUGAUUUCUCGUUGAAAAGAGAGUUCCCAAGCCUGGUAUUCUAACCUGGUACUCUAGAUCCCGUCCUGCUUUCUCUUUGGAUUCAAGAACAUCCCCCUUUCCUUCCGUUAUUUUCAACUUUUUCUUCUCUACUGGCGUUUCUGUCUAGUAUUUGAAUAUGCUUCAGUCUCUCAUUUCUUUGAGAAGACUUCUCUCUUUAAAUCCCUCUGCAACCGCAAUUGUCUCACCCCAUGGACUUUCUCUCAUGUCCCACUCCUCAGCCGUUUCCAGUCUAGCUUUUGUUCUUACCACACACCUGAAGCAGCUCUGAAUUGUCACAGACAAGCUUCAGCCCUCAUCUUACAAGAUCUCGUUGUGGCAUCUUACACCAUUGCCCACACCCUCAUCCACACAUCCUCUUCCCCCUGCUCUUAGCAUUUUCCCCUUCCCUCUCUGGUCGUUCUUUAACAACCAUGCUCUCCUCCUUUAGCCAACUCUUAAAUAUUGGAAUCCUGCUGAGGUGAGCGCUCUUCUUAAGUCCCACCAUAUGCACUUUCCUAGGUGGGCUCAUCCUUUUGCAGUAGCUUCAAAUACCCUCUCCCAAAGACUGUCCCACUCAUAACUCAAGCCUAGAUCUUACUCUUGAAUUCUAGAUUUAUAUUUACAACUGCCUUUGCUAUACUUUCAUCUGGAUGACUAGGGCGUGUCAGACUCAACUCAUAUAUCAUAUUCUUUCCAGAACCCUCGUGUCAUAGCCCUUGGAUCAGUAAAGGGCAUCAUGUCCAUCUACUCAGUUCAGAAACCUACAACACCCCAACACGUGUCAGAAUCACCUUGACCUGCCUUCAAAAAUUAGAUUCUCUCAGUUCUUAUGACCACUUUUUUUUUUAAAUCCCACUCGAGUUUAAACUACCUUUAUCUCUUUCUUGAAGUUCUGCAUUAACUACCAUCCAGGUCCUAUGAAACUGCUUCUGGCCCUUUCCAAUUCAUUUGUCAUACUGCAGCCAGAGUCAUUUUUAACAAAUACAAAUCUGAUCAAGUCAUUACCGUGCUUGAAUUCCUUCAGUAGCUUCCCUUUGCUUACUGAGCACAAUCCCAGUCUUUAUCAUGUAACCAGGCCCUCCAUUAUCUGGGCUUGUCUUCUCUCCAGCCUCCCCAGUGGUCCCCCUAGCUCUCUGCACUCCAGUCAUAUUAGUCUUUUUAUUUUUUCCAGCCUCUUUUCUCUUUUUUUCUACUGUUGGCUCUCACCUCAAGGUAUUUAUAUGUGCUAUUCCCUCCCCCUGGAAUUCUUUUCUGUCACACACUCAUCCUAUCUCACUGUAACUUAACUCUUUCUUUUCUGAUUCAACAUACUUCUAAUUAUUUGUUUAAUGUCCACGUAAAGGUCUCUGUGGGUAGGGACUAUGUCUGUCUUGUUCACCACCAGCAUUUCUCCACCCCUUGUAUCCCCAGCACAAUGUCUAGAAUGUAGUGGUGCUCAUUAAAUAUUUAUUGAGCAAAUAAUGAAUAUGUGGUCCUGGGCAAAAAUUCUUAGUAUUUUUGAGUUCAAAUCCUGGCUCAGCUACUUACUAGCUGGGUACUGGGCAUACUCUUGUGUCUCAGUUUUCCCAUCUAUGAAAUGAAGAUAGUAAUAGUGCCUCCAUCAUAGUGUUAUUUUGAUAAUUAAGUGAGGCCAUUCAUGGAAAGUGUACUUGACACAAUGUUUGACAUGUCAUAAAUGUUAAUUAAAACGUUGCCUAUUUUAUUUGUGUAUCUCACUCUUAUGUCAAAUACAGUUUCAAAAUUGAGCUUAGCAUCUCCCUGCUCUUCUUACCCUGGCCCUAUACAUGAUUCCAAAUAUUGGAAUUAUUUACUCAUAACCUAUACUUACUACCCACGAAAUAUGGAACUUUUUUGUGUGUGUGUUUGUAAAAUUUUCCCAUAUUCUUCCUUUCUAUUCACACUGACCUUCAUUUAGGCCCUCUUCAUGCCUUAGUUACUUUUGCUAACUUCUAGGUGCUUUCUGAGGGCAGACCCACUUCCCCUAAUCACUUGUGCCCUGCUGUCAGAGCAGUGGGUCUCAAACAGUUACUAAUUCAUGUAUUCUCCUUAACUUCUAUUCUCCUGGCCUCUGUUCUCACCUAAAUUUGUUAUUCAUUAUUCAUUCAAUCAUCCAUUCAAGCGUGAAUUAUUUUACUGAACACUUUGGAUACACUUCAGAUUUGAAAUGUAGUCUCCCAAUUUCGGGUAUUCACGCUGGCAUCUUCAGACACCAUAGAAAUGAGCUAGAAACGUCAAACUUUAGCAUCCUUUUUUAAAAUCUCUGGGGCUUGGAAGCUACUCCCAUUUUUGACUCAAUUUUUCACUUGGAAAUUGGGGAGAACAAAGAACACAUGGAUAUACGUUGACCUGGUAUAAGAUAGGUAAGAUAGAUCACUGCCUUGAGAGAGGUCCAGAAAAGGGGGACAGUCUCAUGAGAUGAUUAUAAAAGAUUUCAAGGAGAAAGUGGUAUUUGAGAGCUUUUUUCUUACCACAGCUUCCUUUUCCUGUUAUUUUUCUCUCUUGCUUCCGCUGCUGAACCUAAUUUUCACCGUCACUGUGAACUCAGGUUCCAUGAACCCUGCCUGUUCUAGUUCAUCACCUCUCAUGACUUAAUUUGUUUUCUUUCCUAACCCCAAGGCCAUGGUGACCUAUUUUAUUUAUUCUAAAAGUACCAGUUGAACACCUACUUUGUGCCUGCACUCCCCAGAUUGGGGCUAUAACAGUAAAUAAAACAUUAUUCCUGCUCUGAAGGGUACUAGAAUAAAAUUUUCAUUUUUCUUUUUUGUUCACUCCUUCAUGCUCUCUUAUGGUCUCAUGACUGCAACUCUCAAAAUUAUAUCUUUUCCCCAAAUCACUCUCCCAGACUCCAGACUCAUUUAAACAACAACCUACUCACACCUCCACUUGGAUGUUGUCUUAGUGCUGGUUUUUCCAGAAAGCAGAAUCUGAGGCAAAGGCUUUGUGUUCUUAGGGAGUCCAACCCCAAGGGCAGGAGGGCAGGCAAAAGAAGUGAGUCAGGAAAGGGGAUUAAGAUUCAAUCAGUGGAUGCUAACACUACUGUCAUCCUCAGCACACACGUACUUCCAUUUUGUGUGGGCACCAAAUGGACUCUUGUGUGAGCUGUGUGGUCUAAGAAUGAGGCAAAACAGUAUUGAGUGGUUACUGCCUGAGGAUGGUCCGUCAUGGCAGUGGGGACAAAAUAAGUGGCGAAAGGCUCAUAAGCAAGGAAGUCAAGGGGAUCCUAGGUGCUAUGGACGUGUCUAAGAGACAUCUCAAACUCAGUAUGUCCAAAUUUGAACUAAUUUUCCCUCCCACAUCUGUACCUGCAGCCUUUCCCAUCUUAAUUGCUGAGGUUAGAAAUCUUGUUAUGAUUCUUAGUACCUUCCUUUCUCUCACAUCCUGAAUUUUUCCUGUAGGAAAUUUUAUUGGCUUUUAUUUAUCCAACAACUGACUACUUACCACCUCCACUGCAAGUGAGCUGGGUGUACAGUACCUUCAUCUCUUGUCUGGAUUACUGUAGUUGCUUCUAAAGAAGGUCCCCUACUUCUUCCUUUUGUCAGACACAAGCUACACUCCUUCUUAGCACUUUGGGGCUGUUUCAGUGUUUAAAAUGUCUUUUUCCAGAUAGCAAGAGAGCUAACUCCCUUACCUCCUUCAGGUCUUUACUGAAAUGUCACUUUCUCACUAAGGUCUUAACAAUACUCUUUAAAAUUACAACUUGAUACCUAACUCAACCACCUCUAUUUUUUCCUGUGUCACUUAUUGCUGUAUUCAAAUAUACUAUCUAUUUUUACUUCUUUUUAUGUUUAUUGUUGACUGGCUCCCCUGCUAAAAUACACAUUCUAAAAAGCAUUGUCUUUGUUUUGUUCACUGAUAUAUCUCAAACAGUUGGAACCAUACCCUGAUAUAAUAGGUGAUCUCUGUAUCUUUGUGGAAUGAAUUUCAAACUUGUCUAUGUUCAGGCAGUUCAUACUGUUCAGAUUUAUUUUCAUGGUUGUUUUUGCAGUUAAAAUUAAGAAGUAUGUGAUAGGUUUCCUUCUUGUUUGGUAAGAUUUCCUAUAAUUUUGAUGUAACAAAUACCAAUGAGUAUUGCUGGAAGCAAUUGAAAUUCUGGACACCCCUCUACCUAUAACAGCAGAAAAAGGUGGGGGGAGGGAAUAACCCAAAUGUCCCCAUACGAAACAGUUAGCUAUUUAAUUCAAGUUUUGUCCCUUACAUGUACACUGUUAACAUUACGUUGGAACUAUUUAUUUGUUUAUCUGCAUCCUUUAGUGAACCAUGGGCUCCCUUAGGGCAAAGUUUUGUUUUGUUGAACUUGCAUCCCUAGUAACUGACAUGAUAAGCGCUCAGUAAUGUUUCUUGAAUGAAAGAAUGAGUGGAUGUUUAGAGAUACUCCAGUGCUGGUCAAGGAAGAGGUACCCAGCCCAGCUGAUUAAAGCGUCUGUUCUGCUUAGCAGCUCUUCCCCUGCAGCACAGAGAAAUGCUUGAGACUUCAUAAUCAGAAACAGUGCAAGGUGGAGCUGUUGUCAAUGCUUAUGAAGUAAUCCUGUGAUUUUAAGUGUACUUUCCAAAUAGUUUUCCAACAGAGAAGAUAAGGCACUGAUCUGUUACAUCUAUUUCUGGUCUGUUUACUAGUUACAGUUCCCUAUGUGAAUUAAUAUAUUGCUUCUUACAAUUAAUCUUCAACAGCAACAAAAAACUCUCCACAGCUACUUUAUUCUCUAGCUAAUGUCCUAUUUUUUGCUGUCUGUACAGUAAAUAUCCUUGAAAGAGUUCUAUAUUUACUGUCCCAAUUCCUUUUUUCUUAUUUUCUGUUAAAUCCACUCCAGCUAGCUCUUGCCCCCAGAACGAAACUGCUCUCCAUGUUGCUUAAUCCAAUGACCUGUUCUCAGUCUUCAUCUCACUUGAUUUAUCAGCAGCAUUUGACACGUGGAUCACCCCCUCCUCUCUGUAACACUUCCUUCACUUGUUACACUUUUUCCUUCAGUGUUCCAGGGCACUUCACUCUCCUGAUUUUCAUCGUGCACUACUGGUCAUUGUUCGCAAUCUCCGUUGCUUACUGACCUCUUAAUACUGUAAUGUCCCAAGACUCUGUCCUUGGACCUCGUCUGUUUCUAUACUCUCCCUUAGUGAUCUCAUUCAGUCUGCUGGCAUUAGAUGUGAUAAAUAUGCUCACAACUCCCUAGCCUCAGGUUCAGUCUUGUAUAUCCAAGAAGCUCUGUGUCUCUACUUGGAUAUUUAACAGACCUCUCCAUUUUAUUACAUCCAAAACUAAACUCCUGAUCUCCCCUCUCAAAAACCUUCUCUACUUCUAACCUUUUCUAUCUCAGUUAAUGGCAACUCCAUCAUUCCCAUUGCUAAAACCUACUCAACAACCCUUUUACACCCUACAUCCAAUCUGUCGUCAAAUCCUUCUGCUGUCUCUUCAGAAUGUAUGACCACCCUUCUCAUCUCUACUGAUACAGCCUUGGUCUAAGCCACUGUUGCCUUUUAGUAGGAUUUUAUAUCAGCCACCCUUAACCUUCAUUCUUUUCCCAGCCCAGCAGCCAGAGUGAUCCUUUUAAACCAUAAGGCUGACCACACCACGUUUCUGUUCAAAACUAUCCAGUAGGUCGCCAUAUCACUCAGAAAAAGCUAUGAUUCUUACAGCUUGGCCUACAAGACCCCACUUCCUCUCUGAUCUCAAUUCCUGCUCUUCUUCCCCUACCUGUCUCUGCUCAGGCCCGUUGACCACCUUGUUCCUCAAACACAUUGGACACACUCUCCUCAAGUACUUUACAUUUGCUAUUCUCUCUGCUCAGGAUUCUCCUUCCAGAUGUUUCCAUGUCCUCCUCGCCUCCUCAGGUCUUUGCUCAGACAUCCCCAUUUCUGUGAGGCCUUCCCUUACUACCCUGAUGAAAGUCGUUCACCCUGUACCCCACCUCUGUCUUUGCUGUUUUGUCCUCCCUUUCUUCUUUUGCUGCUUUAUUUUUCUCCAGAGCACCUAUGCUAUGGUAUGCUGUGUGCUUAGUUCAUUUAUUGUGUUUGCCUUUUGUAUCUUUUUUCACUGCUACAUUCUUAACAUCUAGAAUAGUGUCUUGUAUUUAACCGGCGCUCAAAUGUUUGUUGAGUGAAUGCAGUUGAAACUCUGAAUUUAAUAUUAAUAUCCUGGCAUUGUUUUGUAUAAAAAGGUCUCCCUCAGGCUGAUCAUCUCUGUAUGUAUCUAUAAAUGUUGUUUCUGUAUUGCAGCCUGAAUCAUGGUGGGUCCACCAAACUAUUGCCUUCUUGUGGGGCCUGAUUUCAGCAUGACUGCGCUCUCUGCCAUCUCUGCCUCAGUUCCAUAUAGCCUGAACGAGCUUCUUCAGCUGUACAACCAUGAUACCUAAUUGACCUGUGCAAGAUCAAACUCUGCCAGGUCCUUUCGUGACACUUCUCCCAGCUGAAGUGAUUUAUCACGUAGAGAGUGAAGGAGCAGUAGGAACUUUCUGGUUUCCUUUUACCCCCUGACAGCAGGGCUUCUACUCCUGCAAUCAGGACAGGCCAACAGCCUGUCGCUUCAGUGGUGCGAGCUGAGGAAAGGAACCUCGACUCAGAACUAUUGCAGUUCUGGAGAAGUCCCUGGAUACAGGGCAGUGUGCCAGUGGGUGCAGUUUGCCUCCUGGUUCUCCCUCUAAAGCCAAAGGCUCCUGGAAGACAAGACUUAGUUUUGCAGCCAAACUAGAGAUGGAGGUCCUUCUGUGGCAGUCCUGGUGAUCUAUUCAGUAUGGCUUUUACAGUUAGCCAGAGCCUGUUGUAAACAGGAGCUAGAGCUGACCAGACACAUUGCCUCUUUUAAGCCUCUCCAAAGGCUUCCUCCCUGACACCCCAGCUGGUUGGAAGAAUCCCAGGGAAUACCCACAGGCUGUUGAAGGAUUCUUGAUUUUGGAGUGUCCCAAUUUGCACUCUGAAGUCACUGUUUUCUCCCCAAGCACUUCAUAUAGACAUGCACGGUUU